rnacentral:rRNA from 1 species
AAAGCGUGCGCAGGCGGUUAUGUAAGACAGAUGUGAAAUCCCCGGGCUCAACCUGGGAACUGCAUUUGUGACUGCAUGGCUAGAGUACGGUAGAGGGGGAUGGAAUUCCGCGUGUAGCAGUGAAAUGCGUAGAUAUGCGGAGGAACACCGAUGGCGAAGGCAAUCCCCUGGACCUGUACUGACGCUCAUGCACGAAAGCUGGGGAGCAAACAGGAUUAGAUACCCCCGGU